UACGUAGGGUGCAAGCGUUAAUCGGAAUUACUGGGCGUAAAGCGUGCGCAGGCGGUUGUGCAAGACCGAUGUGAAAUCCCCGGGCUUAACCUGGGAAUGGCAUUGGUGACUGUACGGCUAGAGUGUGUCAGAGGGGGGUAGGAAUUCCACGUGUAGCAGUGAAAUGCGUAGAGAUGUGGAGGAAUACCGAUGGCGAAGGCAGCCCCCCUGGGAUAACACUGACGCUCAUGCACGAAAGCGUGGGGAGCAAACGGG
rnacentral:rRNA from 1 species